rnacentral:rRNA from 1 species
UCGAGGAUCUUCGGCAAUGGGCGCAAGCCUGACCGAGCGACGCCGCGUGGGCGAUGAAGGCCUUCGGGUUGUAAAGCCCUGUCGAGGGGGAGAAAGGCGCAAGCUUGAUCUAUCCCUGGAGGAAGCACGGGCUAAGUUCGUGCCAGCAGCCGCGGUAAGACGAACCGUGCGAACGUUGUUCGGAAUCACUGGGCUUAAAGGGCGCGUAGGCGGGCUGCCAAGUCCGGGGUGAAAUCCUCCGGCUCAACCGGAGAACGGCCCCGGAUACUGGCGGCCUCGAGGGGGGUAGGGGCAUGCGGAACUCUGGGUGGAGCGGUGAAAUGCGUUGAUAUCCAGAGGAACUCCGGUGGCGAAGGCGGCGUGCUGGACCCCUUCUGACGCUGAGGCGCGAAAGCCAGGGGAGCAAACGG